UGCGAAACUCGAAUGAACGAACGGAGAGAUUCAUCGUUGCUCCGCGGCGUGACGGUGCGCGAUGUCGAUGUCGCGUCGCGUUUCCUCGUGGAACGUCGACGCGUGCACGGCGCGCGUCCGGUGCGACGUUCGCGGACGGCGUGCACUUCUCUCUUAGUAAUACAUCGCGACCCGUUCGCGGUCGAUCUAAGCGCCGUUCGGGAGUCGCCCGCGCGUACCCUCACCGGUCGCGCGGUGCUACCGCGACGGUUGCCGAUCGGCCGUCGGACGGUAUCAUUACAGGAUCGCGUACGCGCAUCGCGCGCGUCCGGCCCGACGCAAGUCCGUCGUCGUAUUUCCCCCGUCAUGCCGCAGCGCGGACGGGGGUGCGGCGCGCCUGUCGUCGCAGCCGUGCUGUCUCGGACCGUACGCGUAUCGUGUCUGC
rnacentral:rRNA from 1 species